UAAAACGAACUAAUCUUAAAUUCUGUGGGUAGGGUUUAUUUCAGUUUCCAAAGGAAACAAAGUGUUGAGCACUUUCAUUGGUCAUACACUGCAGGGGGACUGACGGCGCUUUCGGGAAGAGGAUCCACAACCGUGUCCAGACACACUCCCCGAGAGCCACGGGGCGGGGACACGGGGCGGGGACACGGGGCGGGGACACGGGGCGGGGACACGGGGCGGGGACACGGGGCGGGGACACGGGGCGGGGACACGGGGCGGGGACACGGGGCGCGCUCCCUGCCCCAGCACCCGGAACCCGACGGGCUUCCCUCGGCAACGUUCUGGCAAACACGCCGCACGAGCCCCUGGGCUGGGUCUGGCAGGGGGAGGAGGCACCAGAGACACGGGAACAGAGGAGCGAGGAGUCGGAUCUGAGGCGGAACAGCACCGCCAGUUCUCUCAGGCUCAGGUCUCUCUGCAUCACUUCUCCAAUUCAGAACUGCAAUUAAAAAUAAGAGCAAACCAUCAGAAAUGCUCAUCCACAAGCUUAUUCCAGAGAGUCUGGAGAGGCGCACGCAGACGGCCCUCUCGCGAGGCAGCUGUUCAGCAGAGGGCUGUCAGCUUCAAUACGGAGAGCAGACGGGAUUCUGGGUCAGCAGCCCAUCUGCAAAGCACGGCUCUGGCCAUUCACACGCAUCACGCGCACACAAGCGGCGAAGAGGCGCCCAGCCACGCCGAGGCACACAACCCGCGCCGGGUGCCACCGCUCCUACCCGAGGCCCAAAGGGAGGUGACAACACGGGAGCAGGUCUUUGAAAAUACGGAUGGACCUUCACUCUGUUCAGUUUGACAGCUGCUCCCUCUGCGGUCUGACUGCAGGCCAAGAGUUACUAUAACCCAGCUGAUAACCAGGUUUACACUGUUCCCCAUUUGUGAUUUAAAAGAACAACAGCUACAUGGCCUUCUGGUGAUACCAGUGCAUUCUUUUGAAUAGCUAUUAAAUUACCUGUGACCACAGAACAACCAACCUGUUCGCCUCUGAUGACUUCAAAAAUACACGGCUUACAAAACACAUGCGCGCAGCGCGUUAUCACGGGACACGUCAGCGAUUCCAAGCAAACUGCACAUUCCUCAUCUGAACCGGAGCUCAGAACCAACUUCAUUUUGCUCACUAAUGUCUCACGCAGUUCUUCAGGAGUUUUAUUAUCUGCAAACACAAAAAGACACUUAAAACCAGGGAUUUCCAUACAGGACAUGCUCGGAGCUGCCACAUAACACUGUUCCACUGAUCAAAAUGCAAUAGGACAGGAUACAGCCUACAAUGUAUAAAACCACAAGCUGCCCAAUACCACAAAACAUUCCAACCUACUGUUUCAAAACACAUGAAGAGUAACCUUACUUGGAAAAAAUGGCAGUUGGAACUCAAAGAGCACCGGUUGUGUGCUUAGUGACAAGUACACGUGCGACAAAAUUCCUCAUGGGAAAGAGCACUUGUCAUGAAUCAGCUGCUCAAGUAGAACAAGACUACAGAGGUGACACUACUUAUAGUUAUGGUUGCUUUAUUUUUUAAGUACAAAAAUUCAAAUAAUAGUAGUUACUAAUUAAUUUAUAAAUGAUUUCUGAACAAUUAUCCAAUCACUUCUCCAUCCUAUAGUUUUCACGAAGAUAAAUGAAAACCUUCUUAAAAGGAUUCUGACCAUAUCAUAUUGGUCUUUUAGUUUCCUGGAAAAAUCAAACCUAUAUCAAUGGCAUCUCAAAAUAAGUUUUCAAAAUAAUAAAUCUGGGAAUUCUCAAACUGAGAGUAUUUCAAACAGACUACGGUUGCUUCUGAAAUAAAUGCAUAAAAUCCACUAUGCAGCUGUACAGUUCUGGCUGGUCACAACCAAGACUCCGCUCCCCUCCUCCGCGCUCACCCUCCCUUACGGCCCGACAGCGUCAACGGUUCUGCCGACGCGGUUACCCACCCACGCGCUACUCCCCAAAGCUCCUCCACACCUUCUCUCUUGAGGCAGAGGAAGAAUUUGCUGUAAAAGCACGUCUGUGAACUACCACAACAGACGCACUGCUUUCUAACAAGCCUUCUGCAUCCAGCUCUGCAGAGCUCCUCUUUGGUCACUUCUGUACGGGCUACCAAAGCUUAUUUACUCCUGCUUCUAGCCUUCCUAACUACUCAUAUGUCACUGCUUUCACUCAUAUCUCAGAAUAAGCUCAAGCACCCACUUCUUAAACAUAUUCAAA